GUAGGGAAUAUUGGGCAAUGGAUGCAAGUCUGACCCAGCCAUCCCGCGUGCCGGAAGAAGGCCCUCAGGGUUGUAAACGGCUUUUGACGGUGAAGAAUCGACAGGAUGCUUCCUGUUUUGACGGUAGCCGUUGAAUAAGCACCGGCUAACUCCGUGCCAGCAGCCGCGGUAAUACGGAGGGUGCGAGCGUUGUCCGGAUUUAUUGGGUUUAAAGGGUGCGUAGGCUGGAAGGUCAGUCAGCGGUGAAAAGCUGUCGCUUAACGAUAGUCUUGCCGCAGAUACUUCCUUUCUUGGAUGAGGAGGAGGCCACUGGAACGGAUGGUGUAGCGGUGAAAUGCAUAGAUAUCAUCCAGAACACCGAUUGCGAAGGCAGGUGGCUGUACCUUAAUCGACGCUGAUGCACGAAAGCAUGGGGAGCAAACAGGAUUAGAUACCCCGGUAGUCC
rnacentral:rRNA from 1 species